rfam:Ornithorhynchus anatinus chromosome 2, whole genome shotgun sequence.
AGCAGCGUGGCUCAGUGGAAAGAGCCCGGGUUUGGGAGUCAGAGGUCAUGGGUUCUAAUCCCAGCUCUGCCA